GACGAACGCUGGCGGCGUGCCUAAUACAUGCAAGUAGAACGCUGAAGGAGGAGCUUGCUUCUCUGGAUGAGUUGCGAACGGGUGAGUAACGCGUAGGUAACCUGCCUGGUAGCGGGGGAUAACUAUUGGAAACGAUAGCUAAUACCGCAUAAGAGUAGAUGUUGCAUGACAUUUGCUUAAAAGGUGCAAUUGCAUCACUACCAGAUGGACCUGCGUUGAAUUAGCUAGUUGGUGGGGUAACGGCUUACCAAGGCGACGAUACAUAGCCGACCUGAGAGGGUGAUCGGCCACACUGGGACUGAGACACGGCCCAGACUCCUACGGGAGGCAGCAGUAGGGAAUCUUCGGCAAUGGACGGAAGUCUGACCGAGCAACGCCGCGUGAGUGAAGAAGGUUUUCGGAUCGUAAAGCUCUGUUGUAAGAGAAGAACGAGUGUGAGAGUGGAAAGUUCACACUGUGACGGUAUCUUACCAGAAAGGGACGGCUAACUACGUG
rnacentral:rRNA from 1 species